rnacentral:ncRNA from 1 species
CGAAAUCGGUAGACGCUACGGACUUAAUUGGAUUGAGCCUUGGUAUGGAAACUUACUAAGUGAUAACUUUCAAAUUCAGAGAAACCCUGGAAUUAAAAAUGGGCAAUCCUGAGCCAAAUCCUGUUUUCCGAAAACAAACAAAGUAAAGACAGAAUAAAAUAAAAAAGAAAAUAAAAAAAAGGGGGGGGGGGGGGAUAGGUGCAGAGACUCAAUGGAAGCUGUUNUAAUAAAUGGAGUUGACUGCGUUGCAUUAGUAAAGUAAAGAAAUCCUUCCGUCAAAACUUCAGAAAAGAUAACCGUAUAUACAUACGCAUACGUACUGAAAUACUAUCUCAAAUGAUUAAGAUUAAUAGGGGCCCAAAUCCGUAUUUUUUUAUCUUUAUAUGAAAAAUGAAAUAAAAAAAAAAUUGUUUUGAAUUGAUUCCAAAUUGAAGAAAGGGUUGAAUAUUAAUUGAUCAAAUCAUUCAUUCCAAAGUCUGAUAGAUAACUGAUUAAUCGGACGAGAAUAAAGAUAGAGUCCCAUUCUACAUGUCAAUAUCGACAACAAGGAAAUUUAUAGUAAGAGGAAAAUCCGUCGACUUUAGAAAUCGUGAGGGUUCAAGUCCCUCUAUCCC